rnacentral:rRNA from 1 species
CCGCUAGGUCGCACGUCUCCCCCUUUUGCGUGGCGGCUCUUCCCAUGGCGGUCAACCUCUGUCGCGCUCAUCCCCAUUCCUGUACGCUGAUGGGAUCCUGCUUCCCACUGCGCAAGGGCGUCGGUACGGCAGCCUCCCACAACCUGGCUUAGAUUUCGGACGGCACCACAACUUCGGCUGGGGGCCUCAAGCAUCGGCGGUGACGCCAGAGGGCGGUGACAAUGGCAGCGAACCAUCGCUUGUCGGUUGGAUUCCACUUGCCGGUGAUUGAGGAAAUAAAUCGCCAUGCCACUCUUCAGCGGCUACUACUUGCAGGUCUGUUACCACUCCGUGCUCUUCCAUUCCUCUGCCCGCGUUAUUGAUGCUAUUCUUUCUCCUCCCAAAAUGAUGCAGGUGAUCUAGGUUGACUGACUCCUGUGUGCUCCCAAGCUAGGAUUAGCAGUUCCAGUAUAAUUUUUGCCUUUGGAUUGUAAGUAAACUCCGUUUGGAUGAGCAUCCUUUUCCAUUGACUAAUAAUAGCCAAUCCAGAUUUGUUUGAUCUGUCUGCAUUUUCCGGUAUAUACUUUACAUAUAGAGGUUCUCGGUGUACGUAUAGGACCAAUAGUAUAAUAGUUGUAGAAAUUCUAUAGCCGUCUGCUAUUGCAAGAUAAUGGAUUCAGGAGAGCCAAUUAUAAUUGGGAUAAUUAAAAUAGGCAGAAGGCAUUGGUAAUCUUGACAUGAAGAAACACAUUAUUCUGAUAUGUCCAUGAUAUUUUAGUGCUCACUUUAUUUUACUGAUGUUCCAAUUUUAGCAGUAUGCAGUAAUAUCAUAUACUCUAGACCAAAUUUGAGUUUACCACAUGACAUGUGCUUUGCAGGAUAAAUCGGAGAACAUCUUUGAUGCUCCUUUGAUAGAAUAUAAUGAGAACAACAUGAUAUGUAAGGCAUGUAUUACAUGGAUCUUGAUUCGGAAUUCAGCAAAACAACUCUAUUGAGUACGUGCAAUAAAAUAGUAAAUUGUUGUUCAUGAUCCUACAGUUUCUGAAGUCAAAAGUAGCAGUGUUUCAUCUAAUUGUAUCCUUCAAAGCUAAUAGAGUCCUUCAUAAUCUUGUGUGGGUGUGGUCUCUAUUAGUCACUAUGUAUUCGCUGAGAUUCUUUCAUUUUGUUGAAACUAUAUGUGCAUCUGCUUUUGUCCGUGCCAUGUUAGGCGGCGCUGGAUCAUCUAUGUUGAGGAUGGCUUCACCGACUUGUGCAUCAUCUGAGCUCUGUUUCCCUUUCCUAGGGUUUAACAAAAUCGCAUUUGUUAUUCGUCAAGAGGAGGCCCACAUGCAGCAAGGUAUGGCCAUGCAAAAUCAAUGCAUGGCUUGUUCAGGACAUUACAGUUCGAAGGACAUGCAAAUGUUUGAUUCUCCAUGUACAGUGUCAAUCAACUGUUGAUUGCAGGAGCAAGGUGUACGGAAAAAAAUUGGAACCAAGAUACUCAUCUGGAGUUUAGUGUUUUAUUGCAUCAACAUAACAAUUCACUGUCUUAUUGCAGGGAUACUGGCUACUUCCCCUUUCUUCCUCUGCCAUCUUCCCAGCAACCAUGGUUCCCAUACCACUGCUCAUUGCGAGGUUCCCAUACUCUCACAGGAACGCUCACUGGCAGCACACAGGCCUUUCCUGACAGUGCCAUGGCACCUCUCUGUAGGUGAGCGACACUGCCAUUUCCUUCCAAGUGUGCCAUAUUUUCUUUUUUAAGUUAUUACAUGCUGAUUUACAGGUUGGUUUAGUCUAUUGUAUCAUGCCUCUAAUUCUGCUCCAUGCUCAAGUCAACAUGACACUUCUUCCCCCAAUUUUUUUCUCAAAUUAUUCUAUGUUAGUUCGGUUUGUCCUAUCAGGCUGAAUGAGCUGUCCACAUCUCCGUGUACAAAGGGUUAGUAUACAUCUACAUAAUCAGAUGCUGGAGGAAAUGUAGCAUAAUAUAUCUAAUCAUAUUAUAUGCUUUACUUACAAUGGUGCCUGCUCAGUGUAGCCAUUUACUCAUGAACUGUAACGUUUCUUUUUACAGAAAAUAGACAAGAUGGGGACAACAAAAUUUCUUUCUCCCAAUUCUGGCACCCCCAUCAAUUGCUUAAUUUUUCAUUACAAUUUUAAUGUCAAUAUUUUUCCUUAAGAAAUUUUGCUAACCGUGGCUUCAUUGCUAAUCAGUUUAUGGUUCACGUACUUGCCCAAAACAUAAUGUUUAGUUGCAGUUGAGCAAACACAACUAGAUCGUGUUAAUGCAUAAGUGAAAUCAACAGUCUUGACGAACCUAGAAUCUAAGGUAUAUAUGCACUGCGAUAUGUUUUACUAGCCUCCUGUUAAAUUCCAAGGACCCUCUUUAUCUUGAGGAUCAUUGUAUAUUGGUAUUUUGUUGCUCUUUCACUAGAAGAUGAUGCCAACUUGUUUUCUAAUUUGUAUAUGAUAAAACUGCAACAUGUCAUAAAAAAGCAGGUUUGGAAGAAUGGUAUUUUUUUAAAGCAAGUUUGGAAGAAUGGUAUUUAUCUAAAUUACGGACAACAAAUGCCAGAAUGGAAUAAAAAGUAAAUAUUCAUUAACACUUGAACACAUUUGUUGGAAUAUAGUGGUUGCUGUAUGAUCUUGAAGCAUGUAUUGCAUUGUAACAAUACAAGGCACGUGCUACUGUUUGACGUGUGAUCUUACAUUGGUAUUAUUAUCCCUGAUUUUCUUUUAGCGACUACUGUAUGAUCUUUGAAGUAUCUAAUCCAACGUUUAUGGAGCAUCAAGUGGCUGGGUUGAGAAGAGAAGUUAUUUGUUGGACCUACAAGGCGCAGAAAUCUAGCUGGCAACAAAAUUAUUUAUAUUUACGAAUGCAGUAAUAUGCAAUACAUAGUGUGUUUUUUAGAAUUACUUGUGUCAUGUUGGAAACAAUGUUGCUGGUGCCUUUACGUGUUACUACUGCUUUAUUGUUCAUGUAUAAUGCCUUCACAUAUUUG